GGAAUCUCGUACUGGUAAGCUCUCUCCCAUUCUGGGUUAGUGGUGAUAUCCCUCACCUGUAAAUCGACGUCGUGGAGAGAAUCUGGGCCGGCGAGCAGAAAGGCGGCGUGUAGUUUCUCUUUGAGGCCGUCGCACAAACAGCAGCCGGGUUUGGAGUAGAGAAUGAGUUUGCGAGAAGGAAGAGAUGAGGAGAAUGAAGCCGAAGGAGCCAAAAUCCGGCGAGGUGUUUGAGGUUUUAGGAG
rnacentral:misc_RNA from 1 species